rnacentral:lncRNA from 1 species
AUGCCUGUUCUUCGGUGGGUCACAUCUGGGAGCUUUGCAGCUCCAUCCAAGUCCACCAGGUGGACAGCAGGAAACCCGUCACUCUUGCCUUCCCAGGUCUGCAUUAACAGGAAGCCGGAGUCAGGCGCCAGAGCCAGGCAUGAAACCCAGAGUAGUUUCCAUAAGAAUUUCAAUACCAUCAUACGUCCUGAGUUUGGAAUAUUGGAAACUAUGUUGCUGUUGCCUGUAUACUUGAAUGCUAGCCUUACUAGAUAAAUAUUUAAAUGUUGUCCUUUUCUCUUUGUUACUUCCCCUUCCUGACUGUGUUGCAGGGUUUCUUAGUCCUAGUGCCAUGGAUAUUUGGUCUGGGUAAUUUCUGACUGUAGGAGGCUGCACUAUGGGUUAUCGGAUAUUCAGUAGCAUCCUUGGCAUCUACUCAUUAGGGGAAAUAGUGCUACCCCUAGUUGUGAAGAUAAAGAUAUUCUUAGAUGCUGUCAGGUAUCCCUGUGGGAAGUGGCCCUGACUAGAAACACGGUUUUACUGCUUCAUGAAAUCUGGUGUUGUUGAGAAUCUCAGAAUUGUCUCCAUUUACAAUGAUAUACAUCCUUUCAGCCAUGUGAUGAAGACUGUGUUUUUUAUUUAGAUUGUUCUUGGUUUAGGUAGUUUGUAUCCCAGACGUGGAAGGAUUUUCCUGAUUCUCCUCAUUCCAAUAUGCCCUUUUGUUUCAUAGCUUCACAUCUCCCUUUGAGUUUUGCCCCCCACCCCAUUUUAUCUUUAAAUUAUUUUUUUUCUCUCAUAUUUUUUCUGUUCCUUUCUUUCUGAUACCAGUAAUGGUUAUGUUAGAGUUAAAUCCUUUGACUGUCAUAGCAACAGUUUUACCUAUAUUGAAAUUCCUUUCUUUAUCUUCUUCCCUUGUGAUGGUAUUUCUGUGAUUUACAAAGCGUAUCUCUUACUGAAAACCAAAGUCAACUCAAACUCCUGGCAUAUAGUUAUAUACCACAGAUAUCUACCUUAAUGUGUAAUGGUUUCAUUAAUUUAGGGUUUCUGUGUUAUAUAUUUUUGUUUUUGAAUAACUUUUAUUAACAAAUAUAAUUGAUUCCAAGUUAUUAUUUUACAUCAUUUAUAUAUCCCUAUAUUCUCCCACAAGACUAUUUUUGAAAAUUAAAAUAAUGCAUCAGAGGGAAAAAUGUAUUUUCUUCCUUAAUUCUCUUUGAACCAACUCUCCUUGUGUGAAAUUCUGAAGUUCUUCAGGGUCUUGUUCUUGGCUUUGUUAAUUAUUGAAAAUGGCAAAUUGAUAUGGAUGAAAUAUUAGAAAAAAAUUCAGUAGUAUUGUACCUGUUUCCUGGAAAAUAAGUUUUGAUUUUUACAAUCAUAAAUGUAACAUUCAUGAAAAUCAUUUUGUGCAUAAAGCUCUGUUCGUGUUCACUAUCGUAUACUAACUUAGCAAGACACUAAUUUAUGUUCUUGCUAUAAGAUAAGAAAAUGAGGGACAGAGAAUUCAUGAACCGGAAAGCAGGAAGCUGCUUCUUUCAGAUUCUGAUGAUCAUGAUUGUUGCCAUUAUGCUAUUUAAGCCUCUGAACUGCUGCAGUUAGUAAUGACCAUGAGGAAUCACAAAUUUGAAGCAGGAAUAAUUUGAUUGGUAAAAUUUGAAUUCCAGUGGAUGCAGAAAAAUAUGGAGUAUGCACACUUGGAAUAAAAAAAAUCCUAUGAGCUUAGUCA